UAACACGUGGGUGAUCUGCCCUGCACUUCGGGAUAAGCCUGGGAAACUGGGUCUAAUACCGGAUAGGACGAUGGUUUGGAUGCCAUUGUGGAAAGUUUUUCGGUGUGGGAUGAGCUCGCGGCCUAUCAGCUUGUUGGUGGGGUAAUGGCCUACCAAGGCGUCGACGGGUAGCCGGCCUGAGAGGGUGUACGGCCACAUUGGGACUGAGAUACGGCCCAG
rnacentral:rRNA from 1 species